UCACGUUGGCCCCGGCAAGGGGUGCAGUCAGACCCGCGCCAGGCAACGGGGACGCGGG
ncrna:Synechococcus sp. RCC307 Glutamine-II riboswitch (downstream peptide RNA)